AUUGAACGCUGGCGGCAGGCCUAACACAUGCAAGUCGAGCGGAUGAAGGGAGCUUGCUCCUGGAUUCAGCGGCGGACGGGUGAGUAAUGCCUAGGAAUCUGCCUGGUAGUGGGGGAUAACGUCCGGAAACGGGCGCUAAUACCGCAUACGUCCUGAGGGAGAAAGUGGGGGAUCUUCGGACCUCACGCUAUCAGAUGAGCCUAGGUCGGAUUAGCUAGUUGGUGGGGUAAAGGCCUACCAAGGCGACGAUCCGUAACUGGUCUGAGAGGAUGAUCAGUCACACUGGAACUGAGACACGGUCCAGACUCCUACGGGAGGCAGCAGUGGGGAAUAUUGGACAAUGGGCGAAAGCCUGAUCCAGCCAUGACGUGUGUGUGAAGAAGGUCUUCGGAUUGUAAAGCACUUUAAGUUGGGAGGAAGGGCAGUAAGUUAAUACCUUGCUGUUUUGACGUUACCAACAGAAUAAGCACCGGCUAACUUCGUG
rnacentral:rRNA from 1 species